GGUGAGUAAUGUCUGGGAAACUGCCUGAUGGAGGGGGAUAACUACUGGAAACGGUAGCUAAUACCGCAUAACGUCGCAAGACCAAAGAGGGGGACCUUCGGGCCUCUUGCCAUCGGAUGUGCCCAGAUGGGAUUAGCUAGUAGGUGGGGUAACGGCUCACCUAGGCGACGAUCCCUAGCUGGUCUGAGAGGAUGACCAGCCACACUGGAACUGAGACACGGUCCAGACUCCUACGGGAGGCAGCAGUGGGGAAUAUUGCACAAUGGGCGCAAGCCUGAUGCAGCCAUGCCGCGUGUAUGAAGAAGGCCUUCGGGUUGUAAAGUACUUUCAGCGGGGAGGAAGGGAGUAAAGUUAAUACCUUUGCUCAUUGACGUUACCCGCAGAAGAAGCACCGGCUAACUCCGUGCCAGCAGCCGCGGUAAUACGGAGGGUGCAAGCGUUAAUCGGAAUUACUGGGCGUAAAGCGCACGCAGGCGGUUUG
rnacentral:rRNA from 1 species